CUACGGGUUGCAGCAGUGGGGAAUAUUGGACAAUGGGGGAAACCCUGAUCCAGCAAUGCCGCGUGUGUGAAGAAGGCCUGCGGGUCGUAAAGCACUUUCGGUUGGGAGGACUGCUUCUAGCACUAAUAUUGUUGGAAGUUGACGUUACCUUCAGAAGAAGCACCGGCUAACUCCGUGCCAGCAGCCGCGGUAAUACGGAGGGUGCAGGCGUUAAUCGGAAUUACUGGGCGUAAAGCGCGCGUAGGCGGCUAGAUCAGUCGGGUGUGAAAGCCCCGGGCGUAACCUGGGAACUGCAUCCGAUACUGUCUAGCUUGAGUACAGGAGAGGAGAGUGGAAUUCCACAUGUAGCGGUGAAAUGCGUAGAUAUGUGGAGGAACACCAAUGGCGAAGGCAGCUCUCUGGCCUGAUACUGACGCUGAGGUGCGAAAGAGUGGGGAGCAAACAGGAUUAGAUACCCUCGUAGUC
rnacentral:rRNA from 1 species